CUGGCGGCGUGCUUAACACAUGCAAGUCGAACGGAGUAUCCUCCCGAGACGGAAGAAGCUUGCUUCUGAAGAAUCAAUUGGAAUACUUAGUGGCGGACGGGUGAGUAACGCGUGGGUAACCUGCCUCACACAGGGGGAUAACAGUUGGAAACGACUGUUAAUACCGCAUAAGCGCACAGCUUCGCAUGAAGCAGUGUGAAAAACUCCGGUGGUGUGAGAUGGACCCGCGUCUGAUUAGCUAGUUGGUGAGGUAACGGCCCACCAAGGCGACGAUCAGUAGCCGGCCUGAGAGGGUGUACGGCCACAUUGGGACUGAGACACGGCCCAAACUCCUACGGGAGGCAGCAGUGGGGAAUAUUGGACAAUGGGGGCAACCCUGAUCCAGCGACGCCCGCGUGAGUGAAGAAGUAUCUCGGUAUGUAAAGCUCUAUCAGCAGGGAAGAUAAUGACGGUACCUGACUAAGAAGCACCGGCUAAAUACGUGCCAGCAGCAGC
rnacentral:rRNA from 1 species